GACAGAGGUCUCAAGCGUUAGGCGGAAUCACUGGGCUUAAAGCGUGUGUAGGCGGAUCGUUAAGUGCUUUGUGAAAUCCCACGGCUCAACCGUGGAAACUGCUUGGCAUACUGGCGAUCUUGAGCCAUCUAGGGGUCGCUGGAACAAACGGUGGAGCGGUGAAAUGCGUAGAUAUCGUUUGGAACGCCUAUGGUGAAAACAGGCGACUGGGGAUGUGCUGACGCUGGAGAACACGAAAGCCCAGGGGAGCAAACGGG
rnacentral:rRNA from 1 species